ensembl:snRNA U6 U6 spliceosomal RNA
CUGCUCACUUCAGCAGCAUGCAUACUAAAAUUGAAACAAUACAGGAAAGUUGAGCUUGGUCCCGGCACAAGGAUGACAAACAACUUCAUGGAAUUUUUCAUAGUUCU